rnacentral:lncRNA from 1 species
UUUGAACUAUGAGUAAGAACGAAAUGUUUUCAAAAUAAUUGUCUCCUCUCACAUGUACGAAAUGCAGUUACUGAACAUAGGUGGUCUAUAAGGUAAUAUUCUAACAAGUUACAAGUAUAAGUGUGAAGUAGCUUUAUAUUUUGGGUUGUUAUGAUAAGUUUGAUAUCUCUUUCUUUGGCUUAUCUCACAUGCGCUUAUUUGGUAUCUGUGGAUUAGUAUUUUGGAUUUUGACAAAGCUUGAGUUCAGGGAAAACAAGGAGAUACUUUUUCUCAAAAUAUGGACUACUGAAAGUUUAACUCUAGAAGAAGCAUCCCGAAAUUUUGAAGAAGCACUUGAUUCCAUGUGUGUAGUGAUAGAGCUGGUGCAAAAAAUUGAUAUCAGGGUACAUAUAGUUCUCUCUCUGUGCAGAUACUUUGUAGCUCCAGAACUGGAGAAUCUGCUUUCUGAAUUUUAUAUAUAUUUUUAGUUGUUGAAGGUGCUGUGAAAUUGUGGCCUUGUGGAGUUCGAGAAUGCAACUUCUUCAUGGUAUGAGAUGUGCUGACUUGUACGACAUAAUUGAUUCACGUACACAAUUAUCCCUUGGGAAAAAUCUCAUAAAAAGACUAUGACCAGUUGGAGCCAUGACUAAGAAUUUCAGUUUUGACGUGUAAUUUUCUCCUUCACUUCUUUCCUAGAAGGGCAUAGCCAAGUCUAGUUGUACAACAAAAUUUCCCAGUCUACUUGUACGACAACAACAUCAUACCCAGCGCAAUUCCAUAAGCGAUCGGAUAAGUGCGGUGUGGGAGGGUAGGAUGUAAGCAGACCUUAACUCUUUAACUUUGAGGGGGCAGAAAGACUUUUCUGAUAGACUUGGAGGUUACUCCCCAGUCUGUUCAUCCCCCUUUUCAUUUUAUUUUUGUAUAAUCAAUCUUAUUUCCAAGUUCUUCCUCGGCUCUGUUCUUUGUGUUUAAGUUGAAUAUGUUUUAUUGAAGUUUUUAUUGUUAGUUCUAUAUGAUCUCGUAUGGUUUCAGCACCAAUAGUAGUUCUUCUUGCGGUUUCUUUUGUUG